rnacentral:rRNA from 1 species
GAAAGUAAGACUAAUACCCAAUGACGUCUCUAGAAGACAUCUGAAAGAGAUUAAAGAUUUAUCGGUGAUGGAUGGGGAUGCGUCUGAUUAGCUUGUUGGCGGGGUAACGGCCCACCAAGGCGACGAUCAGUAGGGGUUCUGAGAGGAAGGUCCCCCACAUUGGAACUGAGACACGGUCCAAACUCCUACGGGAGGCAGCAGUGAGGAAUAUUGGUCAAUGGACGAGAGUCUGAACCAGCCAAGUAGCGUGCAGGAUGACGGCCCUAUGGGUUGUAAACUGCUUUUAUAAGGGAAUAAAGUGAGUCUCGUGAGACUUUUUGCAUGUACCUUAUGAAUAAGGACCGGCUAAUUCCGUGCCAGCAGCCGCGGUAAUACGGAAGGUCCGGGCGUUAUCCGGAUUUAUUGGGUUUAAAGGGAGCGUAGGCCGGAGAUUAAGCGUGUUGUGAAAUGUAGACGCUCAACGUCUGCACUGCAGCGCGAACUGGUUUCCUUGAGUACGCACAAAGUGGGCGGAAUUCGUGGUGUAGCGGUGAAAUGCUUAGAUAUCACGAAGAACUCCGAUUGCGAAGGCAGCUUACUGGAGCGCAACUGACGCUGAAGCUCGAAAGUGCGGGUAUCGAACGGGAUUAGAUACCCUGGUAGUCCGCACGGUAACC